rnacentral:lncRNA from 1 species
UGAUGUGAGAGCAUAAAAAAAACUAUCUUCUUCCUUCUCGCUUCAUUACCACUUUUAUUCACCACAUGGGUACGAUGCAAGUGGAGCAAUGGAGACCCAGUUUGGCAGCUCCAUCAGCGCCGAUUUCGAUGAACUUCGACGAGCUAUCCAUGGAGAGGAGCAAGAGUUUCGUCAAUGCCCUACAGGUAAGAAAAAAAUAAAGAAAAAGAAGAAGUAACAUACCUGGAGACAGACCUCGUUUCUUUUUUUUCCAAUUGGGAGGGAAUUAAUUUUGGGAAUAGAUCAGAGAGGCUGAAACGGAAAUUUUGGGUUUGAUUCUUUGAUGUAGGAACUGAAGAGUCUUAGACCCCAGCUGUAUUCCGCCGCAGAGUACUGCCAGAAAUCAUACCUUCACAACGAGCAGAAGCAAAUGUAAGUAAGCAAAACUGAUGUCUUUACUUUUGUUUGAAUAAUAAUAACAACACGAGUUUGAGAGGAAAUUUUCAGGGUGUUGGAUAAUUUGAAGAACUACACCGUCGGAGCUCUGGUGAACGCAGUCGAUCAUCUCGGAACCGUUGCUUAUAAACUCACAGAUCUAUUCGAAGAACAAUCUUUCGAUAUUUCGAAACUAGAGCAAAGCGUAUCACGUUUGGAUCAGGUAGACGGUAGGCUGUACCUACCAAUCAAAACGAAAAGUUAAAUUUCUUCUUUUUCUUUUUCUUUCCUGAAACGAAUGAAUUUUUUGGGGGGAUGUAAGAAAAUCCAUACCUGCCAACAUUACACAGACAUCGAAGGGCUGGGACAACAGCAAUUGUUGGCACCGAUUGCGCGUCACCACAAGCACUACAUUCUGCCGAGCACCGAAACCGACACCGGAAGCGGGAGGAAGGGUGUUGGAUACGAUCGGAUUUCGUC